CCAUGUAGUGUGCAGACACUAUAGUUUGUUUUCUUUUCCUGUCAACAAGCAGAAGAAUAAACAUUGAGUUCUCACGUGUGAUGAAAGUCUGGAAGGAAGAAACAGGGAGGAGAGGAGCAGAAAGUAAAAUGGCAGGUCUAAAGUACAAACAGAUUUAAAAAGAGACUGGAAAAUCAACAGAGAACUGGAUAAUGAAUAGCUAUUGAAGACAAUUGUGUGGACACAACCUGUGACUUGUGAGAUACUAUCUUCAUUGAUCAGUGACAGAUAUGGAGCAUUCAAACGAUCCAUUGGAACACAAAAUUUUAACAUACGGAUUUAUGCAAGAGGGAUGACUGCAAAGUGCAUUGCAUGAGUCGUGUAAGAAGCUGAAAAUUGCUGCUGUUGUAGCUGUCAUACACACGUUAUUUUCUUUGGUAUGUGUGGAGAUUUUGCUGUCAGGCUUUUAUCCUCCGGAUUGUUUGUGCUGUACCUCUCUUCCUGCUUAAAAUAGAAAACCAGUCACUG